AUAUUAUAUAUAUAUAUAUUUAGAAAUGUUGCCAUCUCAGCUGCGUGAUAAAUUUGAAUCCAUCGUCAAUUACUUAUUGAAGAAAGAAAAUUACUGGAUUUCAAUUGUGCGUUUUCACAAAUGUUAGGGCCCUGCACCUGUUAGUGGAUUUGGUAUCUGAAAUCUGAGACGGCAUAUUUCUAAAUAUAUAUAUAAUAUACACGUGACUGCACGAUCCAUGUAGGGAAUGAAGAUUCGAAGAAACUUCUUAUAAGUGGCUAUAACUUGUUACCACGGCGGAAAAAGCAAUGGCUCUUCUCUCUCUCCUCGCUCAAUCUCUCAGCAAUAUCCUCUUAUUUUCCAAAUAAGAUUGUUUUUCUACUCUUCAAUUUGGAUAAAAUUAUGCAUCUAGUGGCCAUGGAUUCUCCAAGUUACUGCUGAUUCUUGCUCCUCUCUCUCUCUCUCUACCUUCUCCUCCAUUCUUACUGCAAGAGGCAGUUCCUCUCGUGGCGUUCGGAUGGUAACUCAGAUGAGUCUGUCUCGUCAUCGGUCCAUUGUUGCUUUAACGGAGCGACCUCUGAUAAUCGCGUCUUCAUUCUCCGCAUUGUUUUUUUCGCGCGAACAAACAGCAGGGAAAAGCUCCGCAAUUCCCGCACUGGCCAACCAAUAAUCCACGGAAUUGACAAUAUUUGUGUUCGUCUCUGAGUUUAGUUUGCAUUGUGAUUACUGAAGAAACUGCUGCUCUAAGCAUUGUGUGGUUUGUGAGAGUAUUCAGCUCUCUCUCUUUUACUGGAGAGGGAUUGAGUUGGAGAUUCAUUUCAUGAUCUUUGUUACUAUAGCGGACUCUUGGUGCCAUCAAUGUCUGGUCUUCACAAAGACAUAGAGGCGGGUUCCCUUCAACCUGAAGAAGAAUUCAGGGAAGGACUCGAAAA